rnacentral:rRNA from 1 species
UGAGGAAUAUUGGUCAAUGGGCGAGAGCCUGAACCAGCCAAGUCGCGUGAAGGAUGACUGCCCUAUGGGUUGUAAACUUCUUUUACAGGGGAAUAAAAUGAGAUACGUGUAUUUUAUUGCAUGUACCUUGUGAAUAAGCAUCGGCUAACUCCGUGCCAGCAGCCGCGGUAAUACGGAGGAUGCGAGCGUUAUCCGGAUUUAUUGGGUUUAAAGGGUGCGUAGGUGGGCUGUUAAGUCCGCGGUGAAAGUUUGUCGCUUAACGAUAAAAUUGCCGUUGAAACUGGUAGUCUUGAGUAUAGAUGAAGUAGGCGGAAUGCGUGGUGUAGCGGUGAAAUGCAUAGAGAUCACGCAGAACUCCGAUUGCGAAGGCAGCUUACUAAGGUAUAACUGACACUGAAGCACGAAAGCGUGGGUAUCAAACAGGAUUAGAUACCCUGGUA